ensembl:lncRNA
AGAACACCCAGAGAGACCCAGAGAGACACAGGCAGACUCAGAGAGACUCAGAGAGACAGGCAGGCACAGAGAGACCCAGGCAAGCAGAGAGCGACACAGAGAGAUCCAGACAGGCACAGAGAGACACAGAGAUACCCAGAAGGGCACAGAGAGACACAGAGAGAUCCAGGAAGGCACAGAGAGACACACAGAGAGACCCAGGCAGGCACAGAGAGACACACAGAGAGACACAGGCAGGGCACAGAGAGACACACAGAGAGACCCAGGCAGGCACAGAGAGGCACAGAGAGACACACAGAGAGACCCAGGCAGGCACAGAGAGACCAGAGAGAGACC